UUAAUUGAAGACUUGUAUGAAUGAUUUGAUGAAAUAUAAACUGUCUCUUUAUUAAAAAUAGAAUUUAAUUUUUUAGUUAAAAAGCUAAAAUUUAUUUAAAAGACGAGAAGACCCUAUAGAGUUUUAUAUUUAAAAUUAUAUUAAUUUUGUAUAAAAUUUUUAUUUAAUAUUUUUUUAAGUAUUUUAUUGGGGUGAUAGAAAAAUUUAAUAAACUUUUUUUAAAAAUUUUACAUUAAUAUAUGAAAUUUUGAUCCAUAAUUUAUGAUUAAAAGAUUAAAUUACCUUAGGGAUAACAGCGUAAUUUUUUUUUUUAGUUCUUAUAAGAAAAAAAGUUUGCGACCUCGAUGUUGGAUUAAG
rnacentral:rRNA from 1 species